rnacentral:rRNA from 1 species
GGGGGGGGCCCUAACACAUGCAGUCGAGCGGUAGCACAGAGAGCUUGCUCUCGGGUGACGAGCGGCGGACGGGAGAGUAAUGUCUGGGAAACUGCCUGAUGGAGGGGGAUAACUACUGGAAACGGUAGCUAAUACCGCAUACGUCGCAAGACCAAAGUGGGGGACCUUCGGGCCUCAUGCCAUCAGAUGUGCCCAGAUGGGAUUAGCUAGUAGGUGGGGUAACGGCUCACCUAGGCGACGAUCCCUAGCUGGUCUGAGAGGAUGACCAGCCACACUGGAACUGAGACACGGUCCAGACUCCUACGGGAGGCAGCAGUGGGGAAUAUUGCACAAUGGGCGCAAGCCUGAUGCAGCCAUGCCGCGUGUGUGAAGAAGGCCUUCGGGUUGUAAAGCACUUUCAGCGGGGAGGAACGUUAAGGUUAAUAACCUUGGCGAUUGACGUUACCCGCAGAAGAAGCACCGGCUAACUCCGUGCCAGCAGCCGCGGUAAUACGGAGGGUGCAAGCGUUAAUCGGAAUUACUGGGCGUAAAGCGCACGCAGGCGGUCUGUCAAGUCGGAUGUGAAAUCCCCGGGCUCAACCUGGGAACUGCAUUCGAAACUGGCAGGCUAGAGUCUUGUAGAGGGGGGUAGAAUUCCAGGUGUAGCGGUGAAAUGCGUAGAGAUCUGGAGGAAUACCGGUGGCGAAGGCGGCCCCCUGGACAAAGACUGACGCUCAGGUGCGAAAGCGUGGGGAGCAAACAGGAUUAGAUACCCUGGUAGUCCACGCCGUAAACGAUGUCGAUUUGGAGGUUGUGCCCUUGAGGCGUGGCUUCCGGAGCUAACGCGUUAAAUCGACCGCCUGGGGAGUACGGCCGCAAGGUUAAAACUCAAAUGAAUUGACGGGGGCCCGCACAAGCGGUGGAGCAUGUGGUUUAAUUUCGAUGCAACGCGAGAACCUUACCUGGUCUUGACAUCCACAGAACUUUCCAGAGAUGGAUUGGUGUCCUUCGGGAACUGUGAGACAGGUGCUGCAUGGCUGUCGUCAGCCUCGUGUUGUCGAAAUGGUGGGUUAAGGUUCCCGCAACGAAGCGCUAACCUCUUAAUCUUUGUUGCCAGCGGUUCGGCCGGGAACUCAAAGGAGACCUGCCAGUGAUUACACUGGGAGGAAAGG